rnacentral:rRNA from 1 species
UACGGAGGGUGCAAGCGUUAUCCGGAUUCACUAGGUUUAAAGGGUGCGUAGGUGGGCAAGUAAGUCAGUGGUGAAAUCUCCGGGCUUAACCCGGAAACUGCCAUUGAUACUAUUUGUCUUGAAUACUGUGGAGGUCAGCGGAAUAUGUCAUGUAGCGGUGAAAUGCUUAGAUAUGACAUAGAACACCAAUUGCGAAGGCAGCUGGCUACACAAAUAUUGACACUGAGGCACGAAAGCGUGGGGAUCAAACAGG